GAACGGGUGAGUAACGUGGGGNAUCUGCCCUGCACUUCGGGAUAACCUGGGAAACUGGUAAUACCGGAUAGGACCAUCGUUUAGUGGUGGUGGAAAGUUUUUCGGUGCAGGAUGAGCCCGCGGCCUAUCAGCUUGUUGGUGGGGUAAUGGCCUACCAGGCGGCGACGGGUAGCCGGCCUGAGAGGGUGGACGGCCACAUUGGGACUGAGACACGGCCCAGACUCCUACGGGAGGCAGCAGUGGGGAAUAUUGCACAAUGGGCGCAAGCCUGAUGCAGCGACGCCGCGUGGGGGAUGAAGGCCUUCGGGUUGUAAACUCCUUUCAACCAUGACGAAGGACGGUAGUGGUAGAAGAAGCACCGGCU
rnacentral:rRNA from 1 species